rnacentral:rRNA from 1 species
GACGAACGCUGGCGGCGUGCUUAACACAUGCAAGUCGAACGGAAAGGCCUGCUUUCCCUUGUGGAUUGCGGGUACUCGAGUGGCGAACGGGUGAGUAACACGUGAGUGAUCUGCCCCCAACUUGGGUAUAAGCCUGGGAAACUGGGUCUAAUUCCCGAUAGGACUGCAGGGUGGUGCCUGUGGUGGAAAACGAUUUUCUAGUGGUUGGGGAUGAGCUCGCGGCCUAUCAGCUUGUUGGUGGGGUAAUGGCCUACCAAGGCGGCGACGGGUAGCCGGCCUGAGAGGGUGGACGGCCACAUUGGGACUGAGAUACGGCCCAGACUCCUACGGGAGGCAGCAGUGGGGAAUAUUGCACAAUGGGCGGAAGCCUGAUGCAGCGACGCCGCGUGGGGGAUGACGGCCUUCGGGUUGUAAACUCCUUUCGACCGCGAGGAAGCCACCUGGUUGGAAGGGUGGUGACGGUAGUGGUAGAAGACGCACCGGCUAACUACGUG